UACGGAGGGUGCAAGCGUUAUCCGGAUUUACUGGGUUUAAAGGGUGCGUAGGUGGACAGGAAAGUCAGUGGUGAAAUCUUCGAGCUUAACUCGGAAACUGCCAUUGAUACUAUUUGUCUUGAAUACUUUGGAGGUAAGCGGAAUAUGUCAUGUAGAGGUGAAAUUCGUAGAUAUGACAUAGAACACCAAUUGCGAAGGCAGCUUACUAGACAGGUAUUGACACUGAGGCGCGAAAGCGUGGGGAUCAAACAGG
rnacentral:rRNA from 1 species